UCCUACUUCCUACCUAACCUUUCCAUUAUUAGAUAACUCUACUAGGCCCGGAUCCAACAACACUAACACAAAAAAGAUAGGUACAAACUUCAAUUGAUGGUCACAAUCUCCAUCAAUAUUUUGUAUCUGAACUUAUUUUCAACCACAUGCAACAUUUUUGCACAAUAGCUUCAUUCAAUUCAACAAAUGUGUGGCCAUUUUUCAGCUACCAAUUAUUUAUUUAUUUUUUUGGUUUUAGCAAGUUGCAAUAGAUAUCAUCCAUCA
rnacentral:lncRNA from 1 species